GACGAACGCUGGCGGCGUGCCUAAUACAUGCAAGUCGAGCGGACUGAUUAAGAGCUUGCUCUUAUGACGUUAGCGGCGGACGGGUGAGUAACACGUGGGCAACCUGCCCUGUAGAUCGGGAUAACACCGAGAAAUCGGUGCUAAUACCGGGUAAUAUCUGAGAUCACAUGAUCUUAGGUUAAAAGAUGGCUCCGGCUAUCACUACAGGAUGGGCCCGCGGCGCAUUAGCUAGUUGGUAAGGUAAUGGCUUACCAAGGCGACGAUGCGUAGCCGACCUGAGAGGGGGAUCGGCCACACUGGGACUGAGACACGGCCCAGACUCCUACGGGAGGCAGCAGUAGGGAAUCUUCCGCAAUGGACGAAAGUCUGACGGAGCAACGCCGCGUGAGUGAUGAAGGGUUUCGGCUCGUAAAGCUCUGUUGUUAGGGAAGAAACAGUACCGAACGAACUAGGUCGGUACCUUGACGGUACCUAACCAGAAAGCCACGGCUAACUACGUG
rnacentral:rRNA from 1 species